rnacentral:rRNA from 1 species
UGGAAACGGUGGCUAAUACCGCAUAACGUCGCAAGACCAAAGAGGGGGACCUUCGGGCCUCUUGCCAUCAGAUGUGCCCAGAUGGGAUUAGCUUGUUGGUGAGGUAACGGCUCACCAAGGCGACGAUCCCUAGCUGGUCUGAGAGGAUGACCAGCCACACUGGAACUGAGACACGGUCCAGACUCCUACGGGAGGCAGCAGUGGGGAAUAUUGCACAAUGGGCGCAAGCCUGAUGCAGCCAUGCCGCGUGUAUGAAGAAGGCCUUCGGGUUGUAAAGUACUUUCAGCGGGGAGGAAGGUGUUGUGGUUAAUAACCGCAGCAAUUGACGUUACCCGCAGAAGAAGCACCGGCUAACUCCGUGCCAGCAGCCGCGGUAAUACGGAGGGUGCAAGCGUUAAUCGGAAUUACUGGGCGUAAAGCGCACGCAGGCGGUCUGUCAAGUCGGAUGUGAAAUCCCCGGGCUCAACCUGGGAACUGCAUUCGAAACUGGCAGGCUUGAGUCUUGUAGAGGGGGGUAGAAUUCCAGGUGUAGCGGUGAAAUGCGUAGAGAUCUGGAGGAAUACCGGUGGCGAAGGCGGCCCCCUGGACAAAGACUGACGCUCAGGUGCGAAAGCGUGGGGAGCAAACAGGAUUAGAUACCCUGGUAGUCCACGCCGUAAACGAUGUCUACUUGGAGGUUGUGCCCUUGAGGCGUGGCUUCCGGAGCUAACGCGUUAAGUAGACCGCCUGGGGAGUACGGCCGCAAGGUUAAAACUCAAAUGAAUUGACGGGGGCCCGCACAAGCGGUGGAGCAUGUGGUUUAAUUCGAUGCAACGCGAAGAACCUUACCUGGUCUUGACAUCCACAGAAGAAUCCAGAGAUGGAUUUGUGCCUUCGGGAACUGUGAGACAGGUGCUGCAUGGCUGUCGUCAGCUCGUGUUGUGAAAUGUUGGGUUAAGUCCCGCAACGAGCGCAACCC